GACGAACGCUGGCGGCGUGCUUAACACAUGCAAGUCGAACGGAAAGGCCCUGCUUGCGGGGUACUCGCGUGGCGAACGGGUGAGUAACACGUGGGUGAUCUGCCCUGCACUUCGGGAUAAGCUUGGGAAACUGGGUCUAAUACCGGAUAGGAGCCAUCUUUAGUGUGGUGGUUGGAAAGUUUUUUCGGUGUAGGAUGAGCUCGCGGCCUAUCAGCUUGUUGGUGGGGUAAUGGCCUACCAAGCGGGCGACGGGUAGCCGGCCUGCGAGGGUGUACGGCCACAUUGUGAGUGUGAGACAGGCCAGAGUCCCACGGGGGGCAGAAGUGGGGAAUAUUGCGCAAUGGGGGCAAGCCUGAGGCAGCGACGCCGCGUGGGGGAUGAAGGCCUUUGGGUUGUAAACUCCUUUCGCGAGGGACGAAGCGUUUUUGUGACGGUACCUAGAUAAGAAGCACCGGCUAACUACGUG
rnacentral:rRNA from 1 species